rnacentral:rRNA from 1 species
CCUACGGGAGGCAGCAGUGAGGAAUAUUGCACAAUGGACGAGAGUCUGAAGCAGCCAAGUAGCGUGAAGGAUGACUGCCCUAUGGGUUGUAAACAUCUUUUAUAAAGGAAUAAAACGAGGCACGUAUGCCUUUUUGCAUGUACUUUAUGAAUAAGGAUCGGCCAACUCAGUGCCAGCAGCCGAGGUAAUACGGAGGGUCCGAGCGUUGUGCGGAUUUAUUGGGUUUAAAGGGAGCGUAGAUGGGUUGUUAAGUCAGAUGUGAAAGUUUGCGGCUCAACCGUAAGAUUGCAAUUGAUACUGGCAGUCUUGAGUACAGUAGAGGGAGGUGGAAUGCGUGGUGUAGCGGUGAAAUGCGUAGAGAUCACGAAGAACCCCGAUUGCGAAGGCGGCUUACUAGACUGUGACUGACAUUGAUGCUCGAAAGUGUGGGUAUCAAACAGGAUUAGAUACCCGUGUAGUC